CUAAUCAAAUACCUUGAUUUUAUUGUCUGCCUGCAGUCCAGUGACUUCUGUAAACUUGCGUUGACAGAGCUAACAACAGGUUAAAUGAAGUGACUAAUUGUUUUCAUUCGUCAGCUAUUCAUUGCAAGAGCAAUUACAGUUUCAGUGUUCUGCCCCCCAAAUGAGGGCCAGAUCCUGUAGUCAUGUAUGAUUUGUUACCUGCCUCCCUGUUGGCAUUCUUUAGCACGGAGGUGGCUAUACCCAAAGUCCAGCCCCUUGGAAAAACUGUGACUUCAAAUCCAGAUCAGAAUUUGGGCCAUCCAGGGUACCCACGUUUUGUCUUGAUUCCAAGUAUGAGAUGAAUAUGAUCUAAUUUUGUCAUUUUAUUUCUUCGUAGGGUGCCAGGAGGCAGCUAAAAUGUGAAGAAACCCUCACUUGGCUUUUUCUGCUGAAAUGAAAUUUAGCACCAAAGUGCAAUCCCCAAGGCAGCAGGGAUUCUGAUGUCUGCUGGUGGCUGUGCAUGCUGUCUGCUUGGAACGAAGGGAGUGUUCAGCUCACCGGACCAGCAGGAGAAAUGUGUAGGAAACAAAGAUGCACCACCAUAGGUACCUCCGUUGAAUGGGAAGAUCCAGCAACACAGGGCGCCGGAGAAGCAGCUGUGAGAAGAGCAUGCCUUCAGAUGCUGCCAAGAAAAGAUACAAGCUGUACUUACAGGCUCUCAGGAACACACAAAUGAGACUCAGAAAGUGUGACCACGACAGAUACAAUCACUGUGAAUGUUGGGAUCCCUGGAGGAGCCCAUUGGAAGCUGCUGGUCCUACCCCAGUGCCCACGGGAGCUCCCAGGUGCUGUUGAGGUGACUCAGACACAGGAGAACUCCUCUGUCUCACCGAACCACAGAUCCCAGUGUUACCACACUCUAAGAAGAGUUCUGUAGGAAUUUGUAUUUCCAAAUGCAUCUCUCUUGAAAUAAAAAAUUGAAAUGUUACAGUAG